rnacentral:rRNA from 1 species
UACGUAGGGACCAAGCGUUGUUCGGAUUUACUGGGCGUAAAGGGCGCGUAGGCGGCGUGGUAAGUCAGCUGUGAAAUCUCCGAGCUUAACUCGGAACGGUCGGCUGAUACUGCUGUGCUAGAGUACAGAAAGGGCAAUCGGAAUUCUUGGUGUAGCGGUGAAAUGCGUAGAUAUCAAGAGGAACACCUGAGGCGAAGGCGGGUUGCUAGGCUGAUACUGACGCUGAGGCGCGAAAGCUAGGGUAGCAAACGGG